UGCGUAGGCGGGCCCGUUAGUCAGGGUGAAAUCCCACGGCCCAACCGUGGAAGUGCCUCUGAUACUGCGGGCCUGGAGGGAAAUAGGGGCGUGCGGAACUUCCGGUGGAGCGGUGAAAUGCGUAGAUAUCGGAAGGAACACCGGUGGCGAAAGCGGCGCGCUGGAUUUCUACUGACGCUGAGGCACGAAAGCCAGGGGAGCAAACG
rnacentral:rRNA from 1 species